rnacentral:piRNA from 1 species
UGUCAGAUAACCAUAGGUCACUGGGGUGU